UAACGACUCUCGGCAACGGAUAUCUCGGCUCUCGCAUCGAUGAARAACGCAGCAAAAUGSGAUACUUGGUGUGAAUUGCAGAAUCCCSUGAAUCAUCGAGUUUUUGAACGCAAGUUGCGCCCAAAGCCUUCCGGCCGAGGGCACGUCUGCCUGGGUGUCACGC
rnacentral:rRNA from 1 species